rnacentral:rRNA from 1 species
GAGUUUGAUCCUGGCUCAGAUUGAACGCUGGCGGCAGGCCUAACACAUGCAAGUCGAGCGGAUGAAGGGAGCUUGCUCCUGGAUUCAGCGGCGGACGGGUGAGUAAUGCCUAGGAAUCUGCCUGGUAGUGGGGAUAACGUCCGGAAACGGGCGCUAAUACCGCAUACGUCCUGAGGGAGAAAGUGGGGAGUCUUCGGACCUCACGCUAUCAGACGAGCCUAGGUCGGAUUAGCUAGUUGGUGGGGUAAAGGCCUACCAAGGCGACGAUCCGUAACUGGUCUGAGAGGAUGAUCAGUCACACUGGAACUGAGUCACGGUCCAGACUCCUACGGGAGGCAGCAGUGGGGAAUAUUGGACAAUGGGCGAAAGCCUGAUCCAGCCAUGCCGCGUGUGUGAAGAAGUCUUCGGAUUGUAAAGCACUUUAAGUUGGGAGGAAGGGCAGUAAGUUAAUACCUUGCUGUUUUGACGUUACCAACAGAAUAAGCACCGGCUAACUUCGUGCCAGCAGCCGCGGU